GCAAGAUCAAUAUUCCCACACUUGGCAUACAUGUCUAUUAACACAGAUAAAAUCCGAGUGUCAGCGGUUAGUCCGAUGGCAAGGACGAAUUUGUGGAUCAUCUGACAGGGCCUGGAAGCUCCGAUGUUGGAGUAAGCUGCAACUACACUUAGCAUUGUAAUUGAAUUGGGCUUUAUGGUAUCUUCUUCUUUCAUUAGCAUUCUUUUGAAUAGGUAGAGUGCAUCCUCUGGCUGAGAUGAUUGCUCGUAAGCUGCUAUCAUCGCACUCCAACAUAUAGUGUUCUUGCCCUUGAUUCCAUCAAAGAUUCGACGAGCCUGUUUGAAAUCACCACACCUUGCAUGCAUAUCAACCAAAGC
rnacentral:lncRNA from 1 species